rnacentral:rRNA from 1 species
CCUACGGUGUGCUGCAGUGGGGAAUAUUGGACAAUGGGCGAAAGCCUGAUCCAGCCAUGCCGCGUGUGUGAAGAAGGCCUUCGGGUUGUAAAGCACUUUCAGUGGGGAAGAAAGCCUUGGGGCUAAUACCCUCGAGGAAGGACAUCACCCACAGAAGAAGCACCCGCUAACUCCGUGCCAGCAGCCGCGGUAUUACGGAGGGUGCGAGCGUUAAUCGGAAUUACUGGGCGUAAAGCGCGCGUAGGCGGUCUGAUAAGCCGGUUGUGAAAGCCCCGGGCUCAACCUGGGAACGGCAUCCGGAACUGUCAGGCUAGAGUGCAGGAGAGGAAGGUAGAAUUCCCGGUGUAGCGGUGAAAUGCGUAGAGAUCGGGAGGAAUACCAGUGGCGAAGGCGGCCUUCUGGACUGACACUGACGCUGAGGUGCGAAAGCGUGGGUAGCAAACAGGAUUAGAUACCCCAGUAGUC